rnacentral:misc_RNA from 1 species
UCCGGUUUGUCACCGGCAGUCUCGCAUGAGUCCCCAACUAAAUGCUGGCAACAUGCGACAGGGGUUGCGCUCGUUGCGGGACUUAACCCAACAUCUCACGACACGAGCUGACGACAGCCACGCACCACCUGUGAUCCUGCCCCGAAGGGAAGCUGUGUUUCCACAGCGGUCAGGAACAUGUCAAGCCCAGGUAAGGUUCUUCGCGUUGCGUCGAAUUAAUCCGCAUGCUCCACCGCUUGUGCGGGCCCCCGUCAAUUCCUUUGAGUUUCAGCCUUGCGGCCGUACUCCCCAGGCGGGGCACUUAUCGCGUUAGCUUCGGCACCGCGGGGGUCAACUCCCACGACACCUAGUUCUCAUCGUUUACGGCGUGGACUAC